rnacentral:lncRNA from 1 species
AGUGCUGCCGCCACGGGUUGCAAGAGAAGAGAAGCAGGCAGGGGAACAGUCAAUCGUGUAUUCAUCUGGUGCUCAGUAAAUUGGCACUUCACAUAAGAUAAGUUGAGGUCUUUCUUGGCCAGUGCCUGCCUCCCUGGCGCCUGUGGUUUCAGUGAUGGGGAUUCUUCCAUGCGUCACUUGGAGCGACCUCGUCUGUUCCUGUGGACUCACUGACACACUAAAGACACCAGCUCAGCCCUGACCUCUCACCUGAGCGCCUCCUUACCAAGUCAUCCAGAUGGCUCCCCAGGGAUGAGCAGCAACAAAACGGGCACGUGGGUGCCCAGCACACGUCAGGUGAUGUUCUAAGCCCCUUGCGCGUACCCAGUCACUUACCGUUCACUGCAGCCCCGGGAUGAGCUCUGCGAUGAGCAUCCUUUUGCAGACGAGGACACUGAAGCACAGGAAAGUUAGGUCAUUUGCCUAAGGACAUGCAGCUGGAUGGGGACAGAGCCAGGAUCGGGCUUGCAGUGGCUUCAGACCCCACCUUUCUGACCACAGCGCUCGUGCUCUUGGAGCGCCUUGAGAUAGUGGGACAAGGCGGACUGGAGGACGCAGUUUCCAGAUGGGAUGCCCUGGCGGGCGACUCCCGUGCGCAUGCCCAGCAUCCUGCGCAGGCGCUCUCGUGGCCAGGCCUCUGCAAACAGUCAGCACAGACCGGGAGACAGAAAACUACACUCCCUCAGACGCUUUAUUGUUUACAAAACAGAUGGAUCCCAUAGGGAAGGAACACAAUCAUUAUGCUGACAGCAGCGAACAGAGAGGGGAAGAAAAAAGGUGAGCUUUAAAGUAAUCGCAAAUCACUGCCUAUGCGAAGAGGCUGCUUCCGGGCACCUGGGCUGUGACUCAGGUGCUGACAUGAAUACAUCAGCAAGGUCUCAAUUCAGCCACAGUCCCAAGUCCCCCAACCUUCCUGAUUGCAUCUCUAUUUUAAAUGACCCAGCCUGGACAUCAAGGACAAUGAUCUAGGAGGCGGGUCAAGGAGACAGCCAGGCAAAGUCAGAACAGACUUGGGGCUUCCAGGCUAUGCCCGGUGACAGCUGAGCUCUUCAGAAAUGCGUCACAUUCAGCGUUCACUUCCUUCGCUUCCUCCACUACCUAUGACAUAGCGGGGGAAAGAGACAACCAUGAGAGAGGGGUCCCUCCUCGCUGCCCUCCUCGCAGCUGUGCUUGAGUUUCAAAGGGGGAGAGGUUUGUGAGGGACCGGCACAGGGACAGCCAGAGCCGGCACCCUCCGGCCCACCGUGGCACCCCUGACGAUCGCGGGGUGGGGUAGGAGUGAGGGUGGGGGUCGGGGUGAGGUAGUGCUGUGGGGAGGGCACUGUGAAUGAUGGAAACGUCCCUUCUCAGCCUGGGUCGUGCCUAACCUGGGUCUCAAAUCCCACUCUGCCUUCACCCUGGAGUACACUCCAGCGAAGCCGAGGCCCAGCCAACGCUCGUGAAGUUUCCACAGAGAAGAGCCUGCAAAACUCCCACUGGAAGAGGAGAAAUAAAGGCCAUGGAAAGAAACCCCAGGGAAGAGACAGGCCUCGUUCACAGACCCUAGGCAGGGAAUAAAAAAUUCAAGUCAUUCACAGAAGUCUUGAAAGGCAUGAGGAUUUCUGACAGUUCCUAGAAAAAGGCAACAUUUUCUUUAUCUUUGUAUCCAUUGGCCAAGAACGCCGACAUGUGAGACUUGCUUCACCAGCCGCCACCGCUUCCUUACAAUCUCCCGCACUGCUGGAGCGGGCUGGGUAACUACAGGACUGUGCUCUGUGUGAUAAGAUUUGGUGAUUCCACUUUAUAAGAAAGGAAACUGCUUUAAUUAAAGCAGGUUAAUAAUUAAAACUUCAAAGUACUGCACAGCCACAGAAUUUUCUUGAAGGGAGAAAGCGGUCACUGGCCAUAUGAUGCGGAGAUGGUUUUAUCUGAGGCCUGAGAACCAACAGAUGUGCCUGCGCCCUGGCCUGUGCAGCUGUGGGCAGAUGUGUCCCCAGGGGCCUGCCCUCACUCGUGACCAUGCAAUACCCUGCAACAUAAACAUUUUCUUUUCCAAGGAUCUGCAGGGGUGGACAUGAUGCUCCAGGCACAGAGUAGGAAGAAAAGGGGGUGACCUGGGGUUCCCAGCAAACAGGUCCACCUCAUGCUCACUGCGUUCUCAGGGUGAGGCAUAGGGCCUGACAUAUGGUAGGAGCUCUAGGGAUAUUCACUGAACAAAAGAACAUAGGAAAGAAAAGAAACGAGGUCGGAUGGAAGAAACGACCCAGCCAGUUAGGCAGGCCUUGAGUCAAUGCCUGAAGUGACCGAAAUCACCACCAGAUGGCAGCAUGGAAAGCAGUUCAGACCGCGGCCUCCGUGGGGCCCGGGGGUCCAGUGCCCGCACCACUAUGGGGCCCGGGACUGGGCUCCCUGUCCAGACCUCCAACCCAGGCACAGUUCCAAAAAGAACAAAACAAAACAAAAGUGCACUCCUCUUGUUUUUAUAAAAGCUGAGUCCUGAUGGCCUUGCUCAGUGUUUCCGUUUUGAGUUAAAUGAACUCGAUGCCUUCGUAUUUCACGCUUCCGAUCUUGGUCUCCGGCAACAGGAAGCGCCCGUCCAGCGUGAAGGCCAUGAUGUAGGAGGCGACUCUGCCGCUGUCCUCCUCGGAUUUGAGGGCCACAAUGAUCUGGUCGUCGGUGUUGGGGAUGAACUUGAAGGACGAGAAGCCGUGAGUGGGGACCACCGCCCCGACGUGGCUCACAGCGAUGUCGCCGAAGUCAGGGGAGGCGCUCAGCAGCAGGUUGGCGCCCUUGCGCUCGUCGUCCUUCUCGCUGUAGCGCUCCUGGCUGGCGCGGCGCGGCAGGAAGAACCAGCGCUGCAGCGUGUCACUCCAGCAGGCAGACUCAUGGAUGAGGUAGCCUGGGAACCGGGUGACCGCGGGUCAGACACGCAUGCGGCCUGGUGUGCCCAGCCCCACACCAUCAGGCCGUGCGCAGUAGCAGGCAAGGGGCUGCGACCACCAGGGCCCACCAGCUCACAGCAACCCGCCCCUCCCUGCUCUCCAGGAUUCUGGAAGGUUCUGUGUUCUCGGUUAUCCCAUGCAGGGAACCUG